UGCGUAGGCGGAUCAAUAAGUCAGUGGUGAAAUCUCUCGGCUCAACCGGGAAACUGCCAUUGAUACUGUUGAUCUUGAGUUCGGUUGAGGUAGGCGGAAUGUGUAAUGUAGCGGUGAAAUGCUUAGAUAUUACACAGAACACCAAUUGCGUAGGCAGCUUACUAGACCGACACUGACGCUGAGGUACGAAAGCGUGGGGAGCGAACAGGAUUAGAUACCCUGGUAGUC
rnacentral:rRNA from 1 species